AUGGAUGGAUGGACAGACAGAUGGAUGGAUGGACACACGGAUGGAUGGACAGGUGGAUGAUGGAUGGAUGGAUCCUGGCAGGAAUUCCCCGAUUCCCAGCAGCAAUUCCUCGCUCUCUGCUCCAUCUCCCCCCCACCCUCCGUUCCCCCUGGGCUCGCUCUGUCCCCGCCCCCUCUCUGCCCCGCCCCCUUUUUGGCCCCGCCCCCUCUCUGCACCGCCCCUUCUCUGUCCCCGCCCCCCUCUCAGCCCCGCCCCCUCACCGCUCCCGGUUCCGUCCCCAGACACGGGGCUGGAGUGCCCGGUGUGCAAGGAGGAUUACACCCUGGCCGAGCACGUCCGGCAGCUCCCCUGCAACCACGUCUUCCACAGCAGCUGCAUCGUGCCCUGGCUCGAGCUGCACGACACGUGCCCGGUGUGCAGGAAGAGCCUCAAAGGCGAAGAUUCCAGCAGGCAAAUCCCAAACCCCGACGCCUCCGACAGCGCAGUGCAGGAGAGAUGGACAUUCUGAGCCUCCUGGCCGAGGUUCUGCAGCGUUCCAGAAGGUUCCGGGGGCGUCCCAGCUCCAGGUGUGCGUUGAGAAUUCCAGCAGCCCCCCCAGUAGCAGGAAUUCGGGGGCCCCACCCCGUGGGAUCACAGCACCGAGCGCUCUCCUCCCAGGAAUUUCUCCUUCUGCUCCAUGGAAUUGCCUCGUUAGCCCUAAAUUGGGAAGGUUUUUGGGAGUGUUUUGGUUUCAUUUUUUUGUAUCAGAAAAGGUUUUCUUUUCCAGUAGGGGCCCAAUCCUAAGAGGGUUUCCCUCGUAGCCUUCUCUGGAAAAAGGUUGGGAUAAAAAAGGGGAUUUUUGGGAUCUUCUUGCACUCCAGGAGAUUGGAGUUGGAGCCACGAGAGAUUUUAUUGCCCCGGUUUGGGAUGGGAUCCUUGGGGGUCUGUGAAAUCAUGGCAGGGGGAAGGAGGAAGGUUCUGGAAGCCUCAGGAGCCCCCGUGGUCCUGGAGAGGCUCUGGGAGCUCUGUGGGGUCAGGAAUGCUCUCAGCAGGAUUUUGGUCUCAUCCUGGACAAUUUUUGGGGUUGAUUUGGGGUUUUUCGGACCCUUUUCCACGUGGCCCAGGUGUGUCCAAAGCUCCCUGAGCCCCCACGAGUCAUUCCAGGCAGGAAUUACGGAAUUAUGGAAUUAUGGACCAUUCCCUUGGCAACCCUCCCCAUAACUUAAGGAAACUCUUGAUUUUUCCUCAUUGUUUUCAGAGUUUGGUUUGGUUUUUUGGUUUUUUUCCAUUUCCUGGGAUUUUUCCAGGUCUGAAUCCUGGGAUUUUUCCUCGUGGAAUCCACAGGCAGCCCUGGGGGGACGUUGUGACCCCAUCCCUCGUGUUGGGGGGGAGAAGUUCCCAAACCCCUCGGGCUCGGUGGCUCCACAUCCACGGGGAUUUAAUUCCUGAUUUUCUUUGCUCUUCCGUCCAAUAAAGGCCUUUCUCAAAGAAUUCCCUUUCUCA
rnacentral:lncRNA from 1 species